AAAUUUCUCGUCUUCAUCCGCUUUCUCUUUUUUCCCCAUCUCGAUCUUCCUUCUCUUCCACUUUUGAUGACGUAAGUUAGGAUCUCGACUCCCAAUCUCAAAGAAAGAAGAGCAUAAAGUCACAGAAUACUCACUUUUCUCGGUCUGAGAUUCAGAAGAAGUAAAUAGCUCCGAAAUAUCAUCCAAGUUUCGUAA
rnacentral:ribozyme from 13 species